rnacentral:tRNA from 1 species
GUUGCAGGUGGCAGAGCCCGGUAAAUGCGAAAGGCCUAAGCCCUUUUCAGCAGAGGUUCAAAUCCUCUCCUCAACU